GCUAAAUCGUAAGAUGAUGUAUAGGGGGUGACGCCUGCCCGGUGCUGGAAGGUUAAGAGGAGUGCUUAGCGUAAGCGAAGGUAUGAAUUGAAGCCCCAGUAAACGGCGGCCGUAACAAUAACGGUCCUAAGGUAGCGAAAUUCCUUGUCGGGUAAGUUCCGACCCGCACGAAAGGCGUAACGAUUUGGGCACUGUCUCAACGAGAGACUCGGUGAAAUUUUAGUACCUGUGAAGAUGCAGGUUACCCGCGACAGGACGGAAAGACCCCAUGGAGCUUUACUGCAAGUUGAUAUUGAGUAUCUGUUGCACAUGUACAGGAUAGGUAGGAGCCAUUGAUCUGAGGACGCUAGUUUUCAGUGAGGCGAUGUUGGGAUACUACCCUUGUGUCAUGGCUACUCUAACCCGCAUGCCUAAUCGGCAUGGGAGACAGUGUCUGCUGGGCAGUUUGACUGGGGCGGUCGCCUCCUAAAGAGUAACGGAGGCGCUCAAAGUUUCCCUCAGCAUGGUUGG
rnacentral:rRNA from 1 species